GGAAGUAAAAGUCGUAACAAGGUUCCGUAGGUGAACCUGCGGAAGGAUCAUUAUUGAAAGAAUAAGGUGAAUACUGUUGCUGGCCCUUAAACAAGGCAUGUGCACGUACUUGCCGCUUUCAUUCAUCCACCUGUGCACUUUUUGUAGGAGUUCUUUUAGAUUGGCUAAUGGGUUUCACAACCUUGCAGUUCGUUUAGAAGGGCUUCUAUGUCUCACAAACUAGUUAAGCAUGUUUUAGAAGGUUUCUUUUACUGGGACUUCAUUGACCCUUUAAAACUUUGUACAACUUUCAGCAACGGAUCUCUUGGCUCUCCCAUCGAUGAAGAACGCAGCGAAAUGCGAUAAGUAAUGUGAAUUGCAGAAUUCAGUGAAUCAUCGAAUCUUUGAACGCACCUUGCGCCCCCUGGUAUUCCGGAGGGCAUGCCUGUUUGAGUGUCAUUAAAUUCUCAACUUCAUCAGUUUGUAAUGAACUUGUUGAAGCUUGGAUGUUGGAGGUUUGCUGGCGUCUUUAGAUGUUCGGCUCCUCUUAAAUGUAUUAGUGGAACCCGUUUAUUGGACCAUCCUUGGUGUGAUAAUUAUCUACGCUUUGGUUGUUCAAUGGCUUUAAUAAAGCAUUUCAGAAACACUUCUGGUUUGGGCUUUUUGCUCUCAGUAGCAAUAGGUCUGGCUUCAUUAGAGUAGGGCUUUAUCUGCUCUCUAACCGUCUGUAUAAUCGGACAAUACUUUGACUGUUUGACCUCAAUCAGGUAGGACUACCCGCUGAACUUAAGCAUAUCAAUAAGCGGAGGA
rnacentral:rRNA from 1 species